AAAAAAGUGUUUUUUUCGCCUCCUAUACUUCGCCAUACUUGGCCCAUAGUUCAAAAAUUUAAAAAAAGUGUUUUUUUCUCCUCCCAUACUUCGCCAUACUUGGCCCAUAGUUCGCCCAUAGUUCAAAAAUUAAAAAAAGUGUUUUUUUCGCCUCCCAUACUUCGCCAUACUUUGCCCAUAGUUCGCCCAUAGUUCGAAAAUUAAAAAAAAGUGUUUAUUUCGUUUCCCAUACUUCGCCAUACUUUGCCCAUAGUUCGCCCAUAGUUCGAAAAUUUAAAAAAAAGUGUUUUUUUCGCCUCCCAUACUUCGCCAUACUUUGCCCAUAGUUCGCCCAUAGUUCGAAAAUUUAAAAAAAAGUGUUUUUUUCGCCUCCCAUACUUCGCCAUACUUGGCCCAUAGUUCGCCCAUAGUUCAAAAAUUAAAAAAAAGUUUUUUUUUAGGCCUCCCAUACUUCGCCAUACUUGGCCCAUAGUUCGCCCAUAGUUCUAAACUUUAAAAAAAGUGUUUUUUUCGCCUUUCAUACUUCGCCAUACUUCGCCCAUAGUUCGAAAAUUUAAAAAAAAGUGUUUUUUUCGCCUCCUAUACUUCGCCAUACUUGGCCCAUAGUUCAAAAAUUUAAAAAAAGUGUUUUUUUCUCCUCCCAUACUUCGCCAUACUUGGCCCAUAGUUCGCCCAUAGUUCAAAAAUUAAAAAAAGUGUUUUUUUCGCCUCCCAUACUUCGCCAUACUUUGCCCAUAGUUCGCCCAUAGUUCGAAAAUUAAAAAAAAAGUGUUUUUUUCGUCUCCCAUACUUCGCCAUACUUUGCCCAUAGUUCGCCCAUAGUUCGAAAAUUUAAAAAAAAGUGUUUUUUUCGCCUCCCAUACUUCGCCAUACUUUGCCCAUAGUUC